GAUUAACGCUAGCGGCAGGCAUAAUACAUGCAAGUUGAACGGCAGCACAGGUAGCAAUACUGGGUGGCGAGUGGCGCACGGGUGCGUAACACGUAUGCAACCUACCCUAUACAGGCGAAUAACCUUUAGAAAUGAGGGCUAAUACGCCGUAGUAUUACAGAUGGGCAUCUAUUUGUAAUUAAAGAUUUAUCGGUAUAGGAUGGGCAUGCGUCCCAUUAGUUAGUUGGUAAGGUAACGGCUUACCAAGACGAUGAUGGGUAGGGGAUCUGAGAGGACUUACCCCCACACUGGUACUGAGACACGGACCAGACUCCUACGGGAGGCAGCAGUAAGGAAUAUUGGGCAAUGGCCGCGACGCUGACCCAGCCAUGCCGCGUGCAGGAAGACGGCCUUAUGGGUUGUAAACUGCUUUUAUACGGGAAUAAUAGAGUGUACGCGUACAUUUAUGCAAGUAUCGUAUGAAUAAGCAUCGGCUAACUCCGUG
rnacentral:rRNA from 1 species